CUCUUCUCAUGAGCUCCUCUCUGUCUGGUCAGUGACGGUGUAUGGAUUCGCACGAGAAGUAGAGUGAACUCACAGAUGAACAGGCGUCUCCCUUCUCAACUGAGGGAGUUGCCCAAGUCUUCAUGCGAAACACAA